rnacentral:rRNA from 1 species
GAUGAACGCUGGCGGCGUGCCUAAUACAUGCAAGUCGAGCGAACGGACGAGAAGCUUGCUUCUCUGAUGUUAGCGGCGGACGGGUGAGUAACACGUGGAUAACCUACCUAUAAGACUGGGAUAACUUCGGGAAACCGGAGCUAAUACCGGAUAAUAUUUUGAACCGCAUGGUUCAAAAGUGAAAGACGGUCUUGCUGUCACUUAUAGAUGGAUCCGCGCUGCAUUAGCUAGUUGGUAAGGUAACGGCUUACCAAGGCAACGAUGCAUAGCCGACCUGAGAGGGUGACCGGCACACUGGAACUGAGACACGGUCCAGACUCCUACGGGAGGCAGCAGUAGGGAAUCUUCCGCAAUGGGCGAAAGCCUGACGGAGCAACGCCGCGUGAGUGAUGAAGGUCUUCGGAUCGUAAAACUCUGUUAUUAGGGAAGAACAUAUGUGUAAGUAACUGUGCACAUCUUGACGGUACCUAAUCAGAAAGCCACGGCUAACUACGU